UACGUAGGGUGCGAGCGUUGUCCGGAAUUAUUGGGCGUAAAGCGCGCGUAGGCGGCCACUUAAGUCGGAUGUGAAAGCCCCUGGCUCAACUGGGGAAGUGCACCCGAAACUGAGCGGCUUGAAUGCAAAAGAGGGUCGCGGAAUUCCCGGUGUAGAGGUGAAAUUCGUAGAUAUCGGGAGGAACACCGGUGGCGAAGGCGGCGACCUGGGUUGACAUUGACGCUGAGGCGCGAAAGCGUGGGGAGCAAACAGG
rnacentral:rRNA from 1 species